rnacentral:rRNA from 1 species
GAUGAACGCUGGCGGCGUGCCUCAAACAUGCAAGUCGAGCGGGGCUAUGUAAUAUCGCAAGGUAGAACAUAGCCUAGCGGCGAACGGGUGAGUAACACGUGGGUAACCUGCCUGGAAGACAGGGAUAACGAUUCGAAAGGGUCGCUAAUACCUGAUAAUAUCCUUUCAUCGCAUGGUGAUAGGAAGAAAGGGGAAACCCGCUUUCAGAUGGGGCCCGCGUCCCAUCAGCUAGUUGGUAAGGUAAAGGCUUACCAAGGCGACGACGGGUAGCCGGUCUGAGAGGAUGUACGGCCACACUGGGACUGAGAUACGGCCCAGACUCCUACGGGAGGCAGCAGUUGGGAAUCUUAGGCAAUGGACGAAAGUCUGACCUAGCGACGCCGCGUGAGGGAAGAAGGCCUUCGGGUUGUAAACCUCUGUCAUGGGGAAGAAGGAAGUGACGGUACCCAAGAGGAAGCCCCUGCUAACUACGUGCCAGGCAGCCGACGGUAACACCGAUACUCGCGU